rnacentral:rRNA from 1 species
UACGGGGGGGGCAAGCGUUGUUCGGAAUUACUGGGCGUAAAGGGCUCGUAGGCGGCCACCUAAGUCAGACGUGAAAUCCCUCGGCUUAACCGGGGAACUGCGUCUGAUACUGGAUGGCUUGAGUUUGGGAGAGGGAUGCGGAAUUCCAGGUGUAGCGGUGAAAUGCGUAGAUAUCUGGAGGAACACCGGUGGCGAAGGCGGCAUCCUGGACCGGCAUUGACGCUGAGGCGCGAAAGCCAGGGGAGCAAACGGG